AUGAGAUGUAUUUUUGCUACAGUUUCUCACAGACACCACAGAUUCUUCUGCUUCGCAUACCCGUUAUCCGUGAAACAGAGGAAAACCACCACGCACCGCCACCCAAACUCCCUUCUCCGACCUCCCGCCGCCCGUGCAUUUCUCGGCCCCAUUCUUUUAAGAGCGCUGCUCUCCGUGAAAGCUCCUCGUUUAGCACUGCCUUUGCUUCAACGAUUAAUUGCAACCUUUUGCUUCCGAUCUUCGAGGAAGAAGAAGGAGAAGAUAGACCGUGAAAGGAGAGAAAAGGGUAUUCACGAUUAG